rnacentral:tRNA from 1 species
GCGGGAGUAGCUCAGUGGUAGAGCACAACCUUGCCAAGGUUGGGGUCGCGAGUUCGAGCCUCGUUUCCCGCUCCA